rnacentral:misc_RNA from 1 species
UCCGAGUUGUCCCCGGCAGUCUCCCUAGAGUUCCCGACCGAAUCGCUGGCAAAUAGGGACAAGGGUUGCGCUCGUUACGGGACUUAACCCAACAUUUCACAACACGAGCUGACGACAGCCAUGCACCACCUGUGAAGGUGUCCCGAAGGAAAACCGUGUUUCCACGGCGGUCACCUACAUGUCAAGCCCAGGUAAGGUUCUUCGCGUUGCGUCGAAUUAAACCACAUGCUCCACCGCUUGUGCGGGCCCCCGUCAAUUCCUUUGAGUUUUAAUCUUGCGACCGUACUCCCCAGGCGGAGAGCUUAAUGCGUU